rnacentral:misc_RNA from 1 species
GAUGAAGAACGCAGCGAAAUGCGAUAAGUAAUGUGAAUUGCAGAAUUCAGUGAAUCAUCGAAUCUUUGAACGCACCUUGCGCCCUUUGGCCAUUCCGAAGGGCAUGCCUGUUUGAGUAUCAUGAACACCUCAACUCCUCAUGGUCUUCUAUGAUGAGCUUGGACUUUGGGGGCUUGCUGGCCCAUUUGGUCAGCUCCUCUCAAAUGAAUCAGCCUACCAGUGUUUGGUGGCACCACAGGUGUGAUAACAAUCUACGCUUGAGGUUUUCCACCAGGCAACCUUCAGUAAUUGGGGUUCACUGGGGCUCACAAAUGUCUUUCUUCAGUGAGGACAGCUCUUUGAAUGUUUGAUCUCAAAUCAGGUAGGACUACCCGCUGAACUUAAGCAUAUCAAUAAGCGGAGG